CUCCAAAUUCCCAUAAUAUGCAUUGUCAAAUGCAAAAGGGGUUUUCACAUCAAAUGGUGCAACAACAUCAUAAUUCCCUCCAAAUUGUGGGCAUGACAUUUUGAGGGCCUUCAGGAGUCUUGAGUCAAUAUUUGGGUCGGGUUGCUUGGUGCCUUUGUAGUUGUAUAUGCGACUGAGAAAAUGAUGACAGUGGGCAAAACCAAUGGUGUGUGCACCCGAGAGGAUGACUAGGUCUUCGAGUGUUAAGCCUUUGGAUUUAAAGAGCCAAAUAAGUUCAUCCAAUGUCGAAUUUGCUUGAGGAAGAUUUGAGUGGACUCUUGAUGCCAUGGAAAUUUUUCCAUCCCACCUUCCUUUUUUCACUUGAUAAUAUGGACCUCCGGCCUUUAAUAUAUGCAAAAUCACAAUAUCAAUAUAUACCCUAGUAAUUAGUGUUUUAAGAAUUGGACCAGACCGGUCCGUCGGACUAGUAACCCGGCAAACCAGUAUGCUGUCCGGUCCGGGUUGAAACAAUUGGUGCUGACAACAGUUGAAACCUAAUUUUUUUAAGACCUCGAAAGCACAAACAGAUUUGAAGGUACAUGGAUGACUGAUAAAUGACCAAAUUAGAGAAAAAAAUUAAUAUUUGUCUGGUUAUAUACUGGCCAAAAUUGUACAGCUGUUAUAUUUUUAAUUUAAUCACCCUGCAUUCGACAUCCUAAUCAAUAGUCUGUCACUAUCAACCAAAAUAACAGGAAAAUAUGUCUCACCAAAUGGACAAAAUCUCUGGCAGCAAUUGCAAGUAUAUCUGCGCAGGAUACAACUCCAGGGCACUUGCUCUCCACCAAUGAUUUGGCCUUCUUUAUGCUAUCAAAUGCCUCCACUGCUAGUUCCUUGUUAUCCUCUGCGUCCUUCUCUGAUAAUUCUUUGCUUCCCAUUCUUGUUUUAAUAAGUACUGAUGCAUCACAUCCCUUAAGCAAAACCAUUCAUAAAUAAUUACAAGACAGCUUAAACUUGUGCGGGUUGUAUUAGUUGUUUAAACUUCUAGACGAAGUGAUCCAACAAUUAAAUAUGGAGAUGGGGGAAUACCUCAACGAAGCAAUCAUGGAAGAAGAGGCGAAUGGUGGCUGGACCAGAUACCGGCGCUUCUCUGAAUUGCAGGGAGGUUACGGAUGCAACAAGCUGGUCGACCGGAGGGCAGGAUUUGGCGUAGUAAUCGACAGAGAGUUGUCGUGGCGGCCGGCCAGUGGUGUUGGCCGUGGACUUGGGGAAUGAGUGUAUAGCCAAUGUAACAAGGAAAAGGAAAAUGAGCACGAAAAUGAUAACAGGGAAUGAAUUGGAAGAGACAGACAUGGCAGUUUUUUUUUUUAGAGAGCAAUGUUCUAGGACAAAUUAGCAAAUAUUAUUGAAGUGAGUGUCACUGGGAGAAAAAAACCUGUCACGUUAAUGAGAGAAUCAAAUCCCGUGACCGUGAGGCCCAGAAGUUGUGAAAAAUUAAAUUUUCAGAGACACACACACACACACAAGCCCUCGUGAAAUGGAAGAAAACUGCAGGAAAAAGUAUAAUCCGUGUCAUAAAAGGAAUAAAACCAUGAAUGCAUUACUGCUCGACUUAUUUCCUCUAUUAGCACACAGUACUCAUUGGGCUAAACAGUAUAAUAAAACGACUAGAGAACUUCUUUUUCUUCUUCAAUAAUGUCUAGGAAUAUCAAACAUUCUAUCUUAAAAAAUAAGUUUACUGCAUUUUGCGUGGCUCUUUCUAAGAAAUUUAUUGGUGGACGGCGUAAACUUUACCCUUGUACAAUAUACCAUUUGCUCUUUUUGUUUGAUUAGAUAUUUAAAGUCUGAGGAUUUGUUGGUUUGAUAUCAGAUAAAAAAAUUGCUCCCUUUAAACGUAAUCCUAUAUUUCAUCAGUAAAAUAUGGUAAAAAAAUCACCACAAAGCUAAAAGUCUGAAAUAGGAGACCAGUUAAAAGAGAUUAGUCGCUAUAACGCACAUUAGUCGACGCCAAGGUUUAACGAUUGCUCCGUCGAAUAUGACUUUUAUCAUAUCGACAAAGCGACCAAUUGUGUAACAUUAUUUAAAUUUGCGUCACUAUAUAUGUCGACUAUGAACCCGUGCCCAUUUAUAUAUAAGGCCCAUAUAGUUAGACAGAACUGCCCACACUUUGGACCUAAAUUGACUCAAAUAGCACUUGGAUAGUCUAGUUUGGACAAAUGGUCCAAGAACCUACAAACUCAUCCAAAGAAUUAAAAAGUUCAGUUAAUUAAAGAAAUAAAGAAUAAUAACGAAAUUAAAAUCAAUCAUCCAUUAACAUUAUCAAACCCAAGAAAAAAUAAAGAAAAUAAAAACAGUUAUCACAGAUGCAUACUACAAUCUUUUCUUUUCUCUCCAUGUUUCCUUCCCCUCUUCACCCCAAUGGAUCCCAUUUUAUCCAUAGCAGCAGCAAAUAACUGGGAAAACUUCUUUUUAUCCUUUGCCAGAUUUUGAACCAAGGGCCUUGUUCUUGGGUCCAAAAACAGAGCUUGAUCAGAACCCAACAAGCCCAAUUUAGCCUCCAAAUUCCCAUAAUAUGCAUUGUCAAAUGCAAAAGGGGUUUUCACAUCAAAUGGUGCAACAACAUCAUAAUUCCCUCCAAAUUGUGGGCAUGACAUUUUGAGGGCCUUCAGGAGUCUUGAGUCAAUAUUUGGGUCGGGUUGCUUGGUGCCUUUGUAGUUGUAUAUGCGACUGAGAAAAUGAUGGCAGUGGGCAAAACCAAUGGUGUGUGCACCCGAGAGGACGACUAGGUCUUCGAGUGUUAAGCCUUUGGAUUUAAAGAGCCAAAUAAGUUCGUCCACUGUUGAAUUUGCUUGAGGAAGGUUGGAGUGGACUCUUGAUGCCAUGGAAAUUUUUCCAUCCCACCUUCCUUUUUUCACUUGAUAAUAUGGACCUCCAGCCUUUAAUAUAUACAAAAUCACAUUAUCAAUAUAUACCCUAGUAAUUAGUGUUAUAAGAAUUGGACCAGACCGGCCCGUCGGACUAGUAACCCGCCAAACCAGUAUGCCGUCCGGUCCCGGUUGAAACAAUUGGACUAGAUAGCUGACAACAGUUGAAACCUAAUUUUUUUAAGACCUCAAAAGCACAAACAGAUUUGAAGGUACAUGGAUGACUGAUAAAUGACCAAAUUAGAGAAAAAAAUUAAUAUUUGUCUGGUUAUAUACUGGCCAAAAUUUUACAGCUGUUAUAUUUCUAAUUUAGUCACCCUGCAUUCGACAUCCUAAUCAAUAGUCUGUCACUAUCAACCAAAUAACAGGAAAAUAUGUCUCACCAA
rnacentral:lncRNA from 1 species